GGGAGUGUAGCUUAGUGGUAGGGUGUUUGCCUAGCAUGCAAGAGGCCUUAGGUUUGAUCCCCAGCAUUACCU
rnacentral:tRNA from 1 species